AUCGCUUGGACGUAUGCAUACGUCCAUUUGCGCGAACGUGUAAUUCGCCUGGACGUAUGCAUACGUCCAAUAGCGGGAAGGGGUUAAAUGGAUUUUUGAGAACGGGGGCCGAUUUCGAAGCUUGCUUCCGUCGCCCUAUGCAUUGACCCGAUAUGGCAGUAUCUUCGGGUACAGUGCACCACCC